rnacentral:rRNA from 1 species
CGGACGGGUGAGUAACGCGUGAGAAUCUACCUAUAGGUUCGGGACAACAGUUAGAAAUGACUGCUAAUACCGGAUAUGCCGAGAGGUGAAAGCUUUAGUGCCUGUAGAUGAGCUUGCGUCCGAUUAGCUAGAUGGAGUGGUAACGGCACACCAUGGCGACGAUCGGUAGCUGGUCUGAGAGGAUGACCAGUCACACUGGAACUGAGACACGGUCCAGACUCCUACGGGAGGCAGCAGUGGGGAAUUUUCCGCAAUGGGCGAAAGCCUGACGGAGCAAUACCGCGUGAGGGACGAAGGUCUGUGGAUUGUAAACCUCUUUUGUUAGGGAAGAUAAUGACGGUACCUAACGAAUAAGCAUCGGCUAACUCCGUGCCAGCAGCCGCGGUAAGACGGAGGAUGCAAGCGUUAUCCGGAAUUAUUGGGCGUAAAGCGUACGUAGGCUGUUAGAUAAGUCUGUUGUCAAAGCGCGAGGCUCAACCUUGUAAAGGCAAUGGAAACUGUUUGACUAGAGAGAGAUAGGGGCAGGAGGAAUUCCAGGUGUAGCGGUGAAAUGCGUAGAUAUCUGGAAGAACACCAGUGGCGAAAGCGUCCUGCUGGAUCUCAACUGACGCUGAAGUACGAAAGCUAGGGGAGCGAAUGGGAUUAGAUACCCCAGUAGUC